UACAGAGGUGGCAAGCGUUGUUCGGAAUUACUGGGCGUAAAGGGCGCGUAGGCGGCCUGCUAAGUCGAACGUGAAAUCCCCGGGCUUAACCCGGGAACUGCGUCCGAUACUGGCUGGCUUGAAUCCGGGAGAGGGAUGCGGAAUUCCAGGUGUAGCGGUGAGAUGCGUAGAUAUCUGGAGGAACACCGGUGGCGAAGGCGGCAUCCUGGACCGGUAUUGACGCUGAUGCGCGAAAGCCAGGGGAGCAAACGGG
rnacentral:rRNA from 1 species